UACGUAGGGUGCGAGCGUUAAUCGGAAUUACUGGGCGUAAAGCGUGCGCAGGCGGGUUGGUAAGACAGAUGUGUAAUUCCCGGGCUUAACCUGGGAACUGCAUUUGUGACCGCCAGGCUAGAGUGCGGCAGAGGGGAGUGGAAUUCCGCGUGUAGCAGUGAAAUGCGUAGAUAUGCGGAGGAACACUGAUGGCGAAGGCAACUCCCUGGGCCUGCUCUGACGCUCAUGAACGAAAGCGUGGGGAGCAAACAGG
rnacentral:rRNA from 1 species